UUACCACGGAAACCCUGAACAUGGAAGAAGACCUUGGACCCAGAUCCUGCUCCACACCAUCACUCACCCCGCGGUGAGCAGGAGAAGGGCCUUUGAGAGUGUCACCUCUUCUGUCGCUGUUCCGGUGGGGGAGGGGCGCAGACCCCUUUCCUGGGGACAGGAGGCCGUGGGCAUCAGCAGCAGGCAGGAGGGACCACCUCUUUCUCCCCGCCAUGCAAACAGCCACACACGCCACUGCCCAGGUCCUCCUCCGGCUGCCACUGUAAACUGAGGCAGCUACUGCUUCCCCCCAAACUGUCCCCCAGCCAGGGCUCGGCCCGCAGUGGGACCCUGCGGGCCAUCUGACCGCACUCAGCUUCUCAUCCGC
rnacentral:lncRNA from 1 species